UCACUUGUCCCAAUUCCCGGUCCUCACCAAUUAAAAACAAAAUGCUAAAUUUUUAUAUUACUUGUUCAAAUCUGAUUGUAUCGGGAUAGGGUGUGGGACAGAGGAUCUACCUCCCUUUUUGGAAGCCCUUUUUACAUGACUUUCUUGCCAAAUAAUUAGGCCUAUGAAUCUAUGUUUCUUACCUUUUGUGUUAUUUGGUUGCUUUGGUGCAGAGUAAAUUAGGUAAAUGGGUUUAUAAGAGCAAAAGCCAAGCCAUAAUGCAUGAGGGAUAUAUGUUCCCUUUACUUGUUAAUAAGCAGUUGGAUAAUUGGCCAGAAAUGAACUUCAGGAAAAGGAGAUGGGUGAGUGUAAUGUCUUAAUUCACUUAUCAAUUAAUCUCUCCAAUUGCAAUAAAACUUAGAAGAAUGUUAAUGAGAACAUUGGUUAAUAAUUUUAUAUGUUGUUGUUGUGCUAAAGUUUCAUUGAUUUGCAUGAUUAUGCAGAUGACUGUGGCUGAAGCAAAAGAAAUAUGCCCUCAUGCAUGGAUGAAGGAAGCUUUAGAUGUAUUGGUUUGUAGACAAACUCAACCGCAGCCAAAGCUAUAAGUGUAAAUUACGGUCCAGUACACGAGGCUCCCAUCAAGUAGAGUAGAUGUCUAUAGCCUUAACAUCACAAUCAAAGAUCCUGUUUUCAGGAUUUGAACCGAUGAACUUCAGGUCACAGGACAAGUCAAAGCUAUAAGUUUAGAUUGUAAAUUGUAGACAUUCUCUUGCUUUUGGAAUCCACAAACUGGUUGAUUAGAAGAAGCACUCACAAGAUAGAUUUAGUGAAAAUUAAAGUCAGGAAUUGUGAAACUGCAAGUUUACAAUUUGUUCCUUGGCAUUUUGUUCCUGUCCUCAAAUUUCUUAGUGUUGGUUCAAUGGGAAAUAGAGUAGCAUAUUCAGAAUUUGUAGAAUGUAUAGUUAGAGAUCUAGCAAUAGAACCAUAGAUGUACCAAUUCAAUUCAUUCUUCCAUCCAUUUCUGGCCAAUUUGAUCUUCAAUAAAACUAUAUGUAUCACACUUUCUUCUUCAUUGUUCAUAAACUCAAAGCUUAUAUCAGAUGAAGGACUCAACAAGCUUUAACAUAUGAAUAUAUGAUGAGUUUACUUUGGUUUUUAUAUAAAAUAUUUGCUAUUAGUCCUGCCAUUCUGAAGGGUAUAAGCUAUUAUUGAAAGAGAAAGGGUACCUAACUCCUGAAUUCACAAUUGUUACCUCAUUCAAGUUUUGCUCCUUAUUGUAGCACAAGUCAAUGAUAAGAUUAUUGAUACUCUCAAAUGUCAUAUUCUAUUUUCAUUUUAUAUUGACAAAUCAUAAAUUUUUAACAUAUAUAUAAAACUAAGAUUUUGAUUGGCCAAUAUAGUAUGUGGUAGAGUAUUAUGAUUUGGUUGACAUCAUUUAAUAGGAUUAAGGUUUAGUUAUUGAUGUGUGAGACUAAGAGUUGAGAAUUUGGAAUAUAAAUAGCCCUCUAUACUAACAAAAUAAAGAUAAUGAAGCCCAUGGAUAUGGAUUCUUUAAUAUGGGAUGAGUAAGGAAUUGUUUAAUUAAAUGUCAAUGUUUGACGCCUUAAAACAAUAUUUGUCGGGAGAAAUAAUCAUUCAGGAGAAGAUUAGUUUGUUCUCCAAAGCAUGAGGAAUAAAGAUUAUUAUCACUUUGUAAACAAUAUGGAAUUCUACUUUGAAUACAUAGUACUGCAUGUCUUUGGUUGCAUGACCUUUGUGGCUAUGUCUGUUAGAUUGCAGUUGAUUCAGACAAAAGGCCAUAGUUGAGUAAAGAAGAUACCACUUAAAUACUUCUAUUAAAUCCUUUACACUUAAAAUCAAAAGCCAUUUCAUUUUAGUUUUUGUCUAAUCAUUUUAAUAUAAUUAUGUUAAUAGUGCUCAACUCAUGCAUAUAGCUCUAAUUAAGGCCAAGACAGACAUGAUAUUAAGCCUGAAAAAUUGACAUUAGUGUUUCGGAAAGGGUAUAAUAGUAAUAAUACUACAGUUGAAAAGGUAGCAGCAUUAUUGCAUGAUUAUGAUUAGAUAAACAAAAAAGUUGAUAGAGAUUUUUAAUAUAAUUUAACUCUAACUCUAUGGGACGCUCAAUGUUUUAAAACCAAUGAUGUUGCUAUCAGCAAUUUACAUAUUAUAAAUUAUGAAUCAUUGUUGGUGUGUAACUUUCAAAUGAUGUGGGAAAAUACUGAUUGUAUCGGGAUAGGGUGUGGGACAGAGGAUCUACCUCCCUUUUUGGAAGCCCUUUUUACAUGACUUUCUUGCCAAAUAAUUAGGCCUAUGAAUCUAUGUUUCUUACCUUUUGUGUUAUUUGGUUGCUUUGGUG
rnacentral:lncRNA from 1 species